GACUGAGAGCUGUCCUUCAUGACAACAGAACCCACAACAACCAUGACUUUUAUCACCAUCUUCAUCUGGACACUUUCCCUCUGCUUUCAAGAAUCCAGUGGACAGUACACUGUGAAUCAGACUCCUGCAGUGAAAGAUGUUCUCCCAGGACAGUCAGUCUCUCUGAACUGUAAAAGCAGCAGUAAUGUGUUUAACAAUAACCAUCUAGCCUGGUAUCAACAUAAACCUGGAGGAGCUCCUAAACUCCUUAUUUACUAUACUACAACACUUCAGUCUGGGACUCCAUCUAGAUUCAGUGGCAGUGGAUCUGGGAGUGACUUCACUCUGACCAUCAGUGGAGUCCAGGCUGAAGAUGCAGGAGAUUACUGUCAGAUUUACCACAAUGGUUCAGUAUUCACACAGUGAUAAAGAGCAGCGCAUAAACCUCCCUCAGUCAGACUGCACAGUGACUAUACUGCUACCGCUGGGACGUACUGUAGAGGAGAUCAACUCUGGCAUUUGACAAUGUGAUUAGAAAGCGAUAAUUCAGACAAAAUGUUCUCUGUUAUCAUUAUCAUCAUUAUCAUCAUCAUCAGUAUCCUGAUUAAAUUACAGAUGAUUAUUGCCAUAUUGUCAUGACACCUCAGUGUAAACAUAAAAAGUAACCCCACCGAGUCGCAGAAGUCCAAAUGAAACAUUUCUGCCUCCACUUCCCCCCCUUGUAUGAAAGAAAAAGAUGUGGAGCUCAGACAUUAGACUCAUGUCAGUAACUGUAAAUGCCUGUCGUUAGUAGUACUGUCACACCCUGACCAUAGAGAGCCCUUGUUUCUCUAUGGUGUAGUAGGUCGGGUUGUGACUGGGGGUAUUCUAGUUAAUUAUUUCUAUGUGGUGUUCCAGUUUAUUUUCUAUGUUGGUGAUUUGUAUGAUUCCCAAUUAGAGGCAGCUGGUAAUCGUUGUCUAAUUGGGGAUCAUAUUUAGGUACCUUUUUUUCCACCUGUGUUUGUUGGGUGUCACGCCCUGACCUUAGUAUUCUUUGUUUUCUUUAUUAUUUUGGUUAGGUCAGGGUGUGAUGUAUGUGUUUUGCCCCUGUCUAGGGGUUUUGUAUGUCUAUUGGUGUUUACUAGUCUAGGUGUUAUGUACGUCUAUGGUUGCCUAGAUUGGUUCUCAAUUAGAGGCAGCUGUUUAUCACCAUAUUUAGGCAGCCAUAUUCCUUGGGUAUUUUGUGGGUUAUUGUCUAUGGUUAGUUGCCUGUGUCUGCACUUGUUUAUAGCUAUAGCGUCACGUUCGUUUUGUGUAGUUUGUUAAGUGUUUCUUCAUUAAUAAAUAGAAGAAUGUAUUCACAUCACGCUGCGCCUUGUUCUCCUCCAUUCAACAAACGUGACAGUGGGAUAUAUUUUGUGUGCACCACGUAGUCACGUUUUGAUGUUAGUUUAUUCAUUUAUUGUUUUUUGUUUUUGCUAAGUUUCACUUUAUAAUAAAUAUGUGGAAAUCAA